UACGUAGGCAGCGAGCGUUGUUCGGAGUUACUGGGCGUAAAGCGUGCGCAGGCGGCGCGUUAAGACAGGUGUGAAAGCCCCGAGCUUAACUUGGGAAUUGCGCUUGUGACUGGCGAGCUGGAGUGUGGCAGAGGGAGGUGGAAUUCCACGUGUAGCAGUGAAAUGCGUAGAGAUGUGGAGGAACACCGAUGGCGAAGGCAGCCUCCUGGGCCAGCACUGACGCUCAUGCACGAAAGCGUGGGGAGCAAACAGG
rnacentral:rRNA from 1 species